AAGAUGCUUUUGUGCAUCCUCUGAAGUACUCCAUUUAAAAAACCAUGGUAACUAGGGCAUUGCAUUCAGAUGCUCUUGGGAAAAAAAAACACCAUUCCCCUUGCCUCUCAAUGGCCUUUUAGGAGGCUUGGGACAGAAAAACAUCACCUAAUUCAAACUCAGCUUCACCAGGAUGUCUGGAGCUGGGUCCCACGAAUGGGGGAUGAACACAAUACUGGGUACCACUUGGAUCUCCAGUGUGAAAAACACCAGCAGUAGGAUGGCAUAUGGAGAAAGGGAGCCCAUCACCUGUGUCCUGCAGCUAAGCAGCACCCAAAAGUCCCAUUUGAAGUCACCGAGUGCGACAGCACAACUGUAGCAUCCAACAGGGAAGGCGAAUAGCUCAGCCUCCAGGAAAAAGAGACAGCAAUUACAUUUACCUCAAACCAGCAGAGUGUUUUAGUGCAGAGCUUGCAGAGCACACACUGAGCUGGUGCCCUCCAGCAUCUGCGCUGUAAACGGAGCACACUGGGGACAAGCUGACCAAACUGAGAAGGCUGACAGCUCCUUGCCUCUGUGCUGCGGAGGGUGUCCCCAAAAUCCUCUGAAGAACAUCUGAUAAGCCUCUGUCUCCCUGCUACUUUCAUAAACUGUAAUUCUAGAUUUGGAAAGAAAACAAUAUGCAACAAAAAUUAAUCCAAAGACUUCUCUUUGUUAGGGUCACAUUUCCACCAAAAAGGAGGUGAUUGCUCAAUUUGCAGAUCAAUGCAGCUUUACAAAGUACUCAGUAAGCACAACCACUGUGACUUCUCAAGUUCAGUCCAAUAUCCAGCACAAUUCUUCAUUAGAUAUACUAAUAGUUAAGUAUAAAAAUGAAUAGUUAUGUCUACAGGUAAGGUUUUACGCAGGUAAAAAUUCACACUGCAUUCACUUUGCAGGGUGUUAUCAUAUCAAUAAGUAAAUCAUAUUUUCAUGUAUGCAACUGCAGCUAUUAAGAAAGCAUUAGGCAUCUUAUACCCGGUCUUGUGGAAGGUGUCCUUGCCUACGGCAGGAGAGGUGGACUAGAUGAUCUUUAAGGUCCUGUCCAGCCCAAACUGCUCUAUGAUUUCAUGAUCUAGCCUCUAAUUUAUUAACACCAAGUCUGUUUUCUCAUGCAUCAUCCUUGUGGCUUUUGCAACCUUAAUAGGGAUAGCAGGGGACUACUUUAUCACAGAUACCAACGAUGAGGGAGAAGGUACCUUGUACCUCUGCAGCAUGCCAAAUUGGUAGAACAGAACCGAAGUGAUGCUUGGUUUUAUAGGAGCUGUUUUAGCUAUACCAGUAUACCACUAUCAUUACCUCAACAGCAUAAUUAAUGAGUUAUGGCAACUUUAUAAAAAUAGGCUCUUUGAAAGGUGUGCCAGCUGCCAAAUCUAUCGGUAUUAUUUUGCAUGACAAAGUGUGCCAAGCCUGAUACUCUGCUCAAGCAAUGUAAAAAACCAGAUUUUUGGGUCGAUCCCCAGGACAAACACUCAAGCAGACACAGCAGCUGGUUUUUCCAGAGACACGGUGAGCCGGGUACACUUGCAGGCUUUUCCAUACCAGACUCACAAAGUCCUUCAACUCAAAGAAAGUUUAAUUCAAAGGGUUUCCAUCAGGAAAGCAGGAGUCUCUUUCACAACAUGCCUGCCAAAUUUCUAAGGCUAGAAAGCUCAAGCAAGAUGUAUAGUCCAUGCAUUUUGUUUCCCCUUUUAAUUUUUUAAUUUUUUAAUGUUUUUUCACAAUUAACGUGCCACUUACAGAAAUGGCUACUUACAGAAAUGCUCUCUCUCAAUGCUAAGACUAAAUGUAUAUCCAAGAGAGCUUCAUAACUGAGAUAGAGGAUAAACUAAUUUAAAUACAAGCCAGCCUAUCAGGAGGGUUCUUAAUAUACCAGGCAAAAAGAGACAGAGAAACCACUGCAGCAUGGAGAUGACUACUGAUCGUCUUGCCUUGGAGGCUUGAAGGGAAUCUGCAAUUUUGGUGGUAGAAAGAGAAGGAAAUGGCAUUUUCCCUCAAAUAAUAUUCAAACAAUUGUCAAAUACUAGUCCUUCUGAAAAUUACAUUUUUUAAAUUGACUUCUAACCAUUUUUUUCAAGGAUUAGCAUAACCAACUUCUGACUUUACUAGGCCUUUGGCAUCUUUAGGUAAUCAUCACUACACCUACCUAAGGGAUGCUGCAGUGCCAGGGUUAGGUCCUUCAAUAAAAUACUCCCUUGUUUAACCUACACAUAAAGUCUUCUGAAGGCUGAACACCAAUAUUUUUGGCUGGUAUCUGAAAACAGUCAAAAUAACAGGUGCUUAGAGUAAUCUUAAGUCAAACUAGACUAAAGAAGGAAAGAAAGUGCAUAUUUUCCUAUGGAAAUAAAAGUCAUCACCAUGCUUAGAGUAUAACUCCAGGUCAAUACAGGCAAACACCACACAGUUUUGAAGAAAAUAAUUAAUAUCCAUCCACACCUAUCACCAAGCUUCUCAGAGGGGCUGAUACAGCAGGCCAUGACUUGAAAAGAGGACAAUGACUGAGACAGGAGGACACAAGCUCCUCUGCUCUGAGACCAACCCAUCACCAGCAGCAAGCACACUUGGCUGCCCGGCCACAAAACCUAACUGAGAAAAAGCAUCUCCCCAAAAAAACCAGAACCAUUUUAACUGUGAUUAAAAAUACUUGAGUUUGCAGUUUAUACACAUGAACUCAGAAGAGAUGCUCUGAGAAAUGUUUCUCUCUUGUGGUUUCUCUAACAGCAUCAUCAUUACAUCAUUAAAGGGGAGACACUAAUUCAUUCCACUACUAGUUGCUUAAUCCAAACACUUCUCUAUGGCCAUUUAAAUAGUCAGAUGACAUUGAGGUUGUUUUGACUAGAAGAUGCACCACUGGUUUCUCACAUGUGGAUUUUAUUGCAAAAUUCUGUUGUUACACUGAGGGAAAAAAAAGCUUAUUCAAAGGAUAAAACAGAAAAAGGACUUGAGAAAAGGUUAUUAAUCUACAUGUGCCCCAUUCUCCACCUCCACCAGUUCUGUUUUUACUUUUUUUCCCCCUAUCCUAAGGGACACAAGAGCCAAGGAGCAUGUUGUUUGCUCUAGCCCAUCCAACUUAGCUGGUCAGCUGCAACAAGUACUGGGAUCCUGUGUUCAGGUAAACACUUAGGAAACCUAUCUCCUGAGCAUCAAGGUCAUGGUAAUGAGCUGGUGGUUGAGAAGAUCUCAGUGACUUGCUGUGGUGGCUCACAUCCUGUCCCUGAGUAGUUUGCUCAUCACAGUCCUCCCACUGAUGGAUCAGCAGACUCCCAGUACCCAAAGGCCAGGAGUUCCCCCUUGAUAAGAUCAGUAAUCACUGCAGAGAGGGGAAGAAGUCAGACACAUCCUAGGAGAUGCCACUGCAAUGCCAAAAGUAUCAUCUACCUGGGCUCAUGUAAACCAAAGCCUUUCACCCCUGUUCAGUGCUCAAAGGGAAGGGGAAAAUCCAAACAUGCAAAAAAACCCACAUCUCACAUAAAAGAUACUUAGCGGGAAAAAAAAAAAAUCUGAGUGGAGAAAUUCAUUACUGCAGCUUAUUUUAAAUUAGGGAAGCAAACUUAAGUCUUUGCACAGCCAGAAGAUCAUGCUCUGAACAAACCAAGGGAGGUCUGCAGAUGUACACCAUGCUGACCACAGGGUUCAGCUUCUGAGUUCAAUGUAGGUAAAGGAAUGCUUCGAUGCAAAGCUAUGUCAAGCCUGGUAAACACAUAUAUAUACAGAUCCUAUUAAUAACCUGUUAUUUCUGGAGGGAAUUGGGUGAGCUUGAAAAUAAGCAUUGGUCUGGAAGAGUAGAACAAAUUUAACAUGUGAGAUGCUGUGUAGAAAGGGUUUAUUAUGUCACUAGAAAUGUUUCUACGAAAGUCAACUCUGUCAAGGUUAUGAAGUCCUGCUUAAAGGUGAACUUGGCACAAUCUUAACCAAAACCUGGCUAAAACCAAGCAAAAGCUACACAAGAAUCACACUUUCAUAAACUCAAAUGUAAGCACUACAAAGGCAGCUUUCCUGCCUGGAGCUUUGAAUAUAAGGCCUUCUCUAACAGGAAAAAAAUAUUUUCUGCUAUGUGACCCACAAGACUCCAGAAGCAUUUAGGAGACUGUUUUAGUCAAAGUCAAAGGAGGUUAAAAAAAAGCCUAUAAAAGUGGAAGACAGAGUGAACAAUGCUGAGCUAUUCAUUCAAAAAUGAAAUCUGCUUCUGGGAGUGAAGGGGAAAUGCACACCACAAUAGCUUUGGAAAUCACUGCCCAGAACCCUCAGGAAAAGAAUAAAAAAAGGAAAACAUACUUUCAGAAAUCAAGAAUGAUAAAAGUAACACAGAAGAAUUACAGCAGUUGCACACUAGGAAAUAAAGACCAAAAAGAAAAUCACCAUGGUCAAGCCA